rnacentral:rRNA from 1 species
AUGUCCACUCCCGCACAGCCAGAAAGCGCCAUUGAUUUCUCGCUCAAACAUUUAAAUGGAGAGAAUGACAGGAGGAGCGCCACAACAAAGCAUCUGGAUGGGAGCAGCGCUGCAAAAUGCCUGCGACAGUGGCCUCGUCAGGGAAACAAAGAAGGGCGGCAUGGUCUCGAGGAGGAUGCAGCGGGCGUGGUAGAGGAGCGCCACGGUGGCUGGCUCCGGCCAGAAGCCCAGAACCCGCCCAGCUGUAAGCCAAGUGGAAGAACUGGAGCAAGGGGUCAGCGUGGUUGGAGGCAGCGGUAG